GGGGCUGUAGCUCAGUGGUGCAGCGCCUGCCUGGGAAGCACAAGGCCCCGAGUUCAAGUCCCAGUACCCCA
rnacentral:tRNA from 1 species